GACGAACGUUGGCGGCGUGCUUAAUACAUGCAAGUCAACUGAAGCAGUGGUAGCAAUCUCGCUGUGGAGGUGGCGCACGGGUGAGUAACACGUAGGUAAUCUGCCUUCAGGUCUGGCAUAACUCCGGGAAACCGGGGCUAAUAGCAGAUGAUGCAGCGGCUCGACAUCGAGACAGUUGUUAAAGCUAUGGCGCCUGAAGAUGAGCCUGCGUCUGAUUAGCUAGUUGGCGGGGUAACGGCCCACCAAGGCAACGAUCAGUAGCUGGUCUGAGAGGAUGAUCAGCCACACUGGAACUGAGACACGGUCCAGACUCCUACGGGAGGCAGCAGUAAGGAAUAUUGCUCAAUGGGAGAAAUCCUGAAGCAGCAACGCCGCGUGAGGGACGAAGGGCUUUGGCUUGUAAACCUCUGUAGGGAGAGAAAAAAAUCCCAAUCUUUGGGACAUGAUGGUAGCUCAAAAGUAAGCCCCGGCUAACUACGUG
rnacentral:rRNA from 1 species